GAAGGUAGCAUAAUUAAUUGCCUUAUAAUUGGGGGCUUGUUUGAAUGGUUUGACAAGAUAAUUUGAAUAUUUAUUACUUUGUUGAAAUUAUUUUUGAUGGUACAGAAACCUCAUUUUUUAAUUAGACGGAAAGACCCCGGGAACUUGUUUUAUUUUGCCUGGGGCAGGUUUUAAUUUUUUAUUAAAUUUAUGACCCUUUUUGGUUUAUUGAUUUAAGUUACCCCGGGGAUAACAGUGUAAUGAUUAAUGAGAGGUCUUAUCGAAUUAGUCGUUUGCCACCUCGAUGUUGACUUAGGUAUAUGAUUUGGGCGUAGUAGUUUGAAUUUUUGGUCUGUUCGACCAUGUAUAUCUCCAUGAGUUGAGUUAAGACCGGCGUGAGC
rnacentral:rRNA from 1 species